AAUGAACGUUGGCGGCGUGGAUUAGGCAUGCAAGUCGUACGCACAGCUUCGGCUGUGAGUGGCGCAAGGGUGAGUAAUGCGAAGGUAACCAACCCUGGAGUUGGGCAUAACCGCGGGAAACUGCGGGUAAUUCCCAGCGAUGUCUCGAGAUGGCAUCAUCUUGCGACCAAAAGGUGUGAUUCCGCUCUAGGACGGGCCUUCGUGGUAUUAGGUAGUUGGUGAGGUAACGGCGUCACCAAGCCGACGAUGCCUACCGGGUGUGAGAGCAUGACCCGGCACACUGGAACUGAGACACUGUCCAGACACCUACGGGUGGCUGCAGUCGAGAAUCUUCGGCAAUGGGCGAAAGCCUGACCGAGCGACGCCGCGUGAGGGAAGAAGGCCUUCGGG
rnacentral:rRNA from 1 species